rnacentral:rRNA from 1 species
GAUGAACGCUGGCGGCGUGCCUAAUACAUGCAAGUCGAGCGAACAGACGAGGAGCUUGCUCCUCUGACGUUAGCGGCGGACGGGUGAGUAACACGUGGAUAACCUACCUAUAAGACUGGGAUAACUUCGGGAAACCGGAGCUAAUACCGGAUAAUAUAUUGAACCGCAUGGUUCAAUAGUGAAAGACGGUUUUGCUGUCACUUAUAGAUGGAUCCGCGCCGCAUUAGCUAGUUGGUAAGGUAACGGCUUACCAAGGCAACGAUGCGUAGCCGACCUGAGAGGGUGAUCGGCCACACUGGAACUGAGACACGGUCCAGACUCCUACGGGAGGCAGCAGUAGGGAAUCUUCCGCAAUGGGCGAAAGCCUGACGGAGCAACGCCGCGUGAGUGAUGAAGGUCUUCGGAUCGUAAAACUCUGUUAUUAGGGAAGAACAAAUGUGUAAGUAACUAUGCACGUUUUGACGGUACCUAAUGAGAAAGCCACGGCUAACUACGUG